rnacentral:rRNA from 1 species
ACUCCUACGGGAGGCAGCAGUGGGGAAUAUUGCACAAUGGGGAAAGGCCCAUCGAUGCAGCCAUGCCGCGCUGUGUGAAGAAGGCCAAUUCGGGCUUGGUUAAAGACACUUUUCAGUAGGGAGGAAGGUAGUGUAGUUUAACACCUGCAUUAUUUGACGUUACCUACAGAAGAAGCACCGGCUAACUCCGUGCCAGCAGCCGCGGUAAUACGGAGGGUGCGAGCGUUAAUCGGAAUUACUGGGCGUAAAGCGCAUGCAGGCGGCCUGUUAAGUCAGAUGUGAAAGCCCGGGGCUUAAGCCU